GAGGGGCGUGUCGCCGCGGACCAGAAGGAGCGGAGACAGUGGCCUGUGGAGUUGGUUCGCAGGCCUUUGCGGCGGCGUGGGAAUCCCUCACCUUCUCCAGUCGCCACUCGUCCGGUUCUCGUUUUUCUGCCGCCAUCGACUCACAGCGACAAAGCAGCCGUACCAGGUUCAACUCCAACCGCGACGUCGCCAGCGGGCGAUGAUAGGCUCCUUCCGCCUGCGCCAUCUUAGAAAAGGGCGGAAGUGCCUGAGUGAGGUCCUUCCCCUCCGAGGUCCGCCCUGCUACGCUUGGGACGGAAGUAGAGUUUUAUUUCAAGCCGCAGUUUAUUCAAAGAUAAAUCGUUUUCGUCCCUGUCUCUUUUUAAAAUGAUGGUCUUGA
rnacentral:lncRNA from 1 species